rnacentral:rRNA from 1 species
AAGCCUGAUCCAGCCAUGCCGCGUGGGUGAAGAAGGCCUUCGGAUUGUAAAGCACUUUAAGUUGGGAGGAAGAGCAGUUACCUAAUACGUGAUUGUUUUGACGUUACCGACAGAAUAAGCACCGGCUAACUCUGUGCCAGCAGCCGCGGUAAUACGGAGGGUGCAAGCGUUACUCGGAAUCACUGGGCGUAAAGAGCACGUAGGCGGCCUUGCAAGUCAGAUGUGAAAUCCAACGGCUUAACCGUUGAACUGCAUUUGAAACUGCAAGGCUAGAGUAUGGGAGAGGUAGGUGGAAUUCUCGGUGUAGGGGUAAAAUCCGUAGAGAUCGAGAGGAAUACUCAUUGCGAAGGCGACCUGCUGGAACAUUACUGACGCUGAGGUGCGAAAGCGUGGGGAGCAAACA